UGACCUAACUUCUUCUAACCCAGUAACCCCCACGCCCCACCCCCAAACGGAACCUAGCCCCUCUCUUCUCAGUUCUCACAGUCUCGCUCUCUACACCCUCAGCGCCGGCGAGACCGUUCCUCCCACCACCUCCCAGCGCCGCGAAUCCUUCCUCCCAGCGCCGCCGGAUCUUUCCUCCCACUGCUCCCAGGACCUCCUCGCGGACAGAGAGAGCACCACGAAGCCCCAGCCAUAGCCAGCGCCCAGCAGCCCAGCACCACCCUCGCACAGUCGCACCCAGCAGGCCAGCAGUAGCACAGCACCACCCACUCACCCAGGACCACCCAGCGGACAGAGCACCACGCCACCACCUAGCAUAGCACGACGCCACCACCCAGCAGCGUUUCUGGCCACCCACAACACAACACUUUCCACCCAGUCACCGAUUCAAGUCAGAGAUGGAGCCCGAGCCACUGAGUCAGAUUUCUGUUUACCGUGGUCUACAUAUAAAGGUGGACCAGCAUUACCGAGGAAGUUGAUCUCGCAGGGUGCUGCACAGAAGGACUGAUGCCAGAGAUAACAGUGUGUUAACUGUAAAAUUAAGCAAAAAGGCGAACAUAAGGGAACUAUAUGAAUUGGUGUGCAAAAUCAAAGGAGUAGAACAAAAAAAGAUAAUUUUGUUCAAUUUAUGUAAUGCUGUGAAGUGUGAAGUGUGAACUCCGUUCUUUGAUUUGGAGAUGCGAGAUGAAAACGAGGGUUGUUUGCAGGAAAAUCUAUGAUUACAUACGCUAUGAUCUCAAAGAGAUUGCUUCCCCAUCAUCUUUACCUAGGACGAGGGUAUUUGGGUAAUUUUAGUCACUGUUAUUGAUGUUUUGAGUAGACAAAGAUGCAAUUUCGGAGGACCUUACUUAGAGUUAAUUGAACUGGUGACACUUGGCUGUUGGUAACAUUCAAUCUUCAGGUUUUAAAGAGAGCUGCUAGGCUUUAUGCUGCAAGCUGGCUUCGUGAAAAACCUAACGGUGAAAAGAAAC